rnacentral:rRNA from 1 species
AGGACGAACGCUGGCGGCGUGCUUAACACAUGCAAGUCGAACGGUAAGGCCUUUCGGGGUACACGAGUGGCGAACGGGUGAGUAACACGUGGGUGAUCUGCCCUGCACUUUGGGAUAAGCCUGGGAAACUGGGUCUAAUACCGAAUAUGACCAUGGACUUCACGGUUUGUGGUGGAAAGCUUUUGCGGUGUGGGAUGGGCCCGCGGCCUAUCAGCUUGUUGGUGGGGUAAUGGCCUACCAAGGCGACGACGGGUAGCCGGCCUGAGAGGGUGACCGGCCACACUGGGACUGAGAUACGGCCCAGACUCCUACGGGAGGCAGCAGUGGGGAAUAUUGCACAAUGGGCGCAAGCCUGAUGCAGCGACGCCGCGUGAGGGAUGACGGCCUUCGGGUUGUAAACCUCUUUCAGUAGGGACGAAGCGCAAGUGACGGUACCUAUAGAAGAAGGACCGGCCAACUACGCGCCAGCAGCCGC